UCCCUGGUGGUCCAGUGGUUAGGACUCCUAGCUUCCAAUUGCAGGGGGCCUGGGUUAGAUCUCUGGUCAGGGAA
rnacentral:tRNA from 1 species